AACUGGAAGAAGGAACGGGCAACGGUAGGUCAGUAUGCCCCGAAUGAGCUGGGCUACACGCGGGCUACAAUGGUCGAGACAGUGGGAUGCAACCCCGAAAGGGGGCGCUAAUCUCCGAAACUCGAUCGUAGUUCGGAUUGUGGGCUGAAACUCCCCCACAUGAAGCUGGAUUCCGUAGUAAUCCCCUCUCAAAAGGAGGCGGUGAAUACCUCCCUGCUCCUUG
rnacentral:rRNA from 1 species